GGCGAGGGGGAAGGCGAGGGGGGGGGGAGAAAGGGAGAGCCUGGGGCAGGUAAAAGAGGACCCAUCGUGUUGGUCUUGUUAGGCUUUUUGAUAUUGUUAUUAUUAUUAUAACGAUUUAAUUCAAUUUUUGUCAGUCUUCAGGGGCAAGCGCUGACUAAUUUUCACUGAUGCCAUCUUUACAAACACAUCUAUCUUCCCCCUUCCUUCCCUCUUUCUUUCUUCUUCUCUCUCUUUAGUUACGAUUUUCCGGGAUAAAUGAAUGAGCAUUUGAUGGGUGUGUAAGAUGUGGCCCAUCCGGCUGCCGUAACAGAGCCCUGUGAAUGCGGUGCGUGCUGUACCGGUCGUGAUAAGAAACAAGUGGGCAAGUGAUAUUUUUUAGCGGUUUGGAUUGGCUUAAAAAGACGAGAGGGUAUUUCAUCAGUGGUCCAAAAUAGUGCUCCAGCUUCCAAGUUAAACUUUUGGGGACUCCUCCUUUACUUCAUUUUGCAUAAGCACAGAGGCUGGAGAAGGAAAACGUGAGAUACUUGUUAUUAUUAUUACAAUAAUAAUUAUUAUUUAAAAAAGGGAGAAAAGGAAUGCAUCUCGCCUCUGCGGCGAGAUGCCCGCUUGGGAAGCAGUGAACUUUCCGGAGGAGGUGAGGGAGCCACAGCAGCCUCCCGGCUGAGCUGGGCUGCUUCCCCCCAUCCCUCCGGAUUUGCCGGUAGCUCCCACCAGUCGAAAGUUACCUGCUCCUCAGCAGCAGCAGCCGUACAGUCGCUUGCUCCUGAAUUAAACACAACUCUUAAUGAUGUAGCAUUAUCAGCAAGGGACACUUGAUUGACUGAUCUAGGUAUGAUAUAUGUGCUGGGCGUCUAAAUUAAAUAUUAAGUGAAAUACUUAGCUCUAAUUAGAAAUCGUAACCUAGCAAUGAAAACUUGAAGAAACAAUUUGCGGGGGGAGGAGGGGACAGCCUUUAAACGCGGCAGCGAGGAAAGUAGCAGUGAUGUGUACAGAGUCUGACAUAUUAGCAACAAGCAGCAACUUUGAAAUGAUUGACGUAUCAUUAAAGCCAUCAGGCUGAUUUUAAUAAUUCUUCUUCAAGGAAAAAAAAAAAGGAUAGAAAAGGAGAAAAAAAGCGUGGAACCUCUCAGACAAGUUAUUUAUUAGGCAGCACAUUAAACCCGAGAGAAACAAUAUUAAACCGGGGGAGAACGAGGAAAGGCGGGUGGAAGUCUGUUGACGAAUUUAACAAAUAAACGUCCAUAAAGCAGCGACCGUCCAGCUCGGUGCUUCUUCGUGAGAUGGAGAUGUCAGAGCUAGAUGCUUUCUCCCCCGAGUGUGCCUUCUCAAGGUAAACAUGCACACAGUUGCUUCAACUUUCUACUUUAGUACAAAGUUCCUGGUGCGACAGAAAAUUUGAAUAUUUUAUCAGUCUCUUGUAGUGACCCUCAUUAGGUGGGCAUCCUGCUAAGGCCUUGGCGUUACAAGAAAGCUGCCCAAUCAGAGCAUUUGCACGCCUUGUUAGCGAUGGUUAAUGAAGCUUCCCCAUGCACUCAAAGAAAGGCCCCCUCGAUGUAGAUUUACCUUAUGUCAACUCGUUACUUCUAAUGAAUCGCAUCAAAAUUCUUCCCUGAAUGGGGCCGAGACGCCCAGACCGGGAUCCCCCUCCCCGCCCGGUGGAGCCCACCCCUACCACCGCUGGCACUUCAGCGGAGAGUCCGGGGCCAAGGUGACCAGGCGCAGUUUGGCGGUGGGGAGGGGGAGAAGAGGCCGCGGGAGGGGACGGAAUGGAGCGUGCGGCCGGCAGCGGCGGGGGCACUGCGGUCUGCGGGGGGGCCCAUCCUGGCCGCGGCUCCCGGCGAGGGCAGUGGCUGCGGAGGCUUCGCUGCUGGCAGGUGCACUUAGACGGCGGAAAGAGCGUCUGCACACCCUCCGGGGACAGAGUUUGCCUCCUGAACUACGCUUCUCUUUCUGAAGAACAGUAGCUCCGACCUCCAAACCAACUGAGACUGGUGCUUUAAAGUAGCUGCGAACAGUGCUCCUGUGUCUCAACACGGUCA